rnacentral:rRNA from 1 species
UGGGGAAUUUUGGACAAUGGGGGCAACCCUGAUCCAGCGACGCCGCGUGAAGGAUGAAGGUCUUCGGAUUGUAAACUUCUUUUAGAGGGGAUGAAUGGCUUGGUGAAUAGCCAAGUAUGACAGUACUCUCUGAAUAAGCCACGGCUAACUACGUGCCAGCAGCCGCGGUAAUACGUAGGUGGCAAGCGUUACUCGGAAUCACUAGGCGUAAAGCGCAGGUAGGCGGUUUGUUAAGUCUAUUGUGAAAGCUCCCGGCUCAACUGGGAGAGGCCAAUGGAAACUAACAAGCUAGAGUGUGGUAGAGGUAGCUGGAAUUCCCGGUGUAGCGGUGAAAUGCGUAGAUAUCGGGAGGAAUACCUAUGGCGAAAGCAGGCUACUGGACCAUCACUGACGCUGAUCUGCGAAAGCUAGGGGAGCAAACAGG